rnacentral:rRNA from 1 species
CCUACGGGAGGCAGCAGUGGGGAAUAUUGCACAAUGGGCGAAAGCCUGAUGCAGCCAUGCCGCGUGUGUGAAGAAGGCCUUCGGGUUGUAAAGCACUUUCAGCGAGGAGGAAAGGAUGGUAUUUAAUAAGUAACAUCUGUGACGUUACUCGCAGAAGAAGCACCGGCUAACUUCGUGCCAGCAGCCGCGGUAAU